AAUAAGUGUAGUUUUGCACUAUUCACGUUCAACGUUUGACCGUUCGUCUUAUUUGAAAAAAUUUUAUGAUUAGUAUUUUUAUUACUAUUAGAUGAUAAAACAUGAAUAGUACUUUAUGUGUGACUAAAUAUUUUUAAAUUUUUCACAAAUUUUUCAAAUAAGACGGACGGUCAAACGUUGGGCACGGAUAUCCACGACUGCGCUUAUU
rfam:Oryza glaberrima chromosome 1 Oglab01_0186_12, whole genome shotgun sequence.